rnacentral:rRNA from 1 species
AUUGAACGCUGGCGGCAGGCCUAACACAUGCAAGUCGAGCGGAAGAAGGGAGCUUGCUCCUGGAUUCAGCGGCGGACGGGUGAGUAAUGCCUAGGAAUCUGCCUGGUAGUGGGGGAUAACGUCCGGAAACGGGCGCUAAUACCGCAUACGUCCUGAGGGAGAAAGUGGGGGAUCUUCGGACCUCACGCUAUCAGAUGAGCCUAGGUCGGAUUAGCUAGUUGGUGGGGUAAAGGCCUACCAAGGCGACGAUCCGUAACUGGUCUGAGAGGAUGAUCAGCCACACUGGAACUGAGACACGGUCCAGACUCCUACGGGAGGCAGCAGUGGGGAAUAUUGGACAAUGGGCGAAAGCCUGAUCCAGCCAUGCCGCGUGUGUGAAGAAGGCCUUCGGAUUGUAAAGCCCUUUAGGUUGGGAGGAAAAGCAGUAAGUUAAUACCUUGCUGUUUUGACGUUACCAACAGAAUAAGCACCGGCUAACUUCGUG